CCCGCCACUACGCCUGUCUGCCUGGGUGACUGGUGUACUCCAGUGGGGGCUGAGAGAGAACCAGCUCUAGGAAGCAGGGCUGCCCUACGCAUGGGCAACUCUGUGCCGAAAGAUCUGGAACAUUC